GCGCCGAGCCCCUCGCACAAACC
rnacentral:miRNA from 15 species